rnacentral:rRNA from 1 species
UACGGGGGGAGCAAGCGUUGUUCGGAUUUACUGGGCGUAAAGGGCGCGUAGGCGGCCACCGCAAGUCAGUUGUGAAAGCUCUGGGCUUAACCCAGAAAGGUCAACUGAUACUGCGGGGCUAGAGUGCAGAAGGGGCAACUGGAAUUCUCGGUGUAGCGGUGAAAUGCGUAGAUAUCGGGAAGAACACCCGUGGCGAAGGCGGCUCUCUGGGACGGUACUGACGCUGAGACGCGAAAGCGUGGGGAGCGAACAGG